UACGUAGGGGGCCAGCGUUGUCCGGAUUCAUUGGGCGUAAAGCGCGUGUAGGCGGCCAGGUAGGUCCGAUGUGAAAUCUGGAGGCUCAACCUCCAGCGGUCAUUGGAAACCAUCUGGCUAGAGUCCGGAAGAGGAGAGUGGAAUUCCUGGUGUAGCGGUGGAAUGCGCAGAUAUCAGGAAGAACACCCGUGGCGAAAGCGGCUCUCUGGAACGGUACUGACGCUGAGACGCGAAAGCGUGGGGAGCGAACAGG
rnacentral:rRNA from 1 species